GAUGAACGCUAGCGGCAGGCUUAAUACAUGCAAGUCGAGGGGUAGCAAGAUUGUAGCAAUACAAUUGUUGACGACCGGCAAACGGGUGCGGAACACGUACACAACCUUCCUACAAGUGGGGAAUAGCCCAGAGAAAUUUGGAUUAAUACCCCGUAACAUAGCGAUGUGGCAUCACAUUGCCAUUAUAGCUUCGGCGCUUGUUGAUGGGUGUGCGGCUGAUUAGAUAGUUGGCGGGGUAACGGCCCACCAAGUCUACGAUCAGUAGCUGAUGUGAGAGCAUGAUCAGCCACACGGGCACUGAGACACGGGCCCGACUCCUACGGGAGGCAGCAGUAAGGAAUAUUGGACAAUGGACGCAAGUCUGAUCCAGCCAUGCCGCGUGAAGGAUUAAGGUCCUCUGGAUUGUAAACUUCUUUUAUAAGGGACGAAAAAAGGUCUUUCUAGAUCGUCUGACGGUACCUUAUGAAUAAGCACCGGCUAACUCCGUGCCAGCGGCCGCCGUAAAAC
rnacentral:rRNA from 1 species